rnacentral:rRNA from 1 species
GGGCCCGCACAAGCGGUGGAGUAUGUGGUUUAAUUCGAUGCAACGCGAAGAACCUUACCAGGGUUUGACAUCCUGCGAAUCUCUUGGAAACAGGAGAGUGCCUUCGGGAACGCAGUGACAGGUGGUGCAUGGCUGUCGUCAGCUCGUGUCGUGAGAUGUUGGGUUAAGUCCCGCAACGAGCGCAACCCACGUCUUUAGUUGCCAGCAUUUAGUUGGGCACUCUAGAGAGACUGCCGGUGAUAAACCGGAGGAAGGUGUGGAUGACGUCAAGUCAUCAUGCCCCUUACGGGUAGGGCUACACACGUGCUACAAUGGCCAGUACAAAGGGCAGCAAAAUCGUGAGAUGGAGCGAAUCCCAUCAAAACUGGUCUCAGUCCGGAUUGGAGUCUGCAACUCGACUCCAUGAAGUAGGAAUCGCUAGUAAUCG